rnacentral:rRNA from 1 species
AUACGGAGGGUGCAAGCGUUGUUCGGAAUUAUUGGGCGUAAAGCGCGCGCAGGCGGCUUGCCAAGUCUGAUGUGAAAGCCCGGGGCUCAACCUCGGAACUGCAUUGGAAACUGGUAGGCUUGAGUAUGAGAGGGGUUUGUGGAAUUCCUGGUGUAGGGGUGAAAUCCGUAGAUAUCAGGAGGAACACCGGUGGCGAAGGCGACAAACUGGAUCAUUACUGACGCUGAGGUGCGAAAGCGUGGGGAGCAAACAGGAUUAGAAACCCGAGUAGUCC